UUUAACGGCUGCGGUAUUUUGACCGUGCUAAGGUAGCAUAAUCAAUUGUUUUUUAAUUGAAAACUAGUAUGAACGGUUUAAUUUACUUAAUUAGUUUGUAAUUUUUAAUAGUAAGUUAAAUAUAAAGUAAGAAUUCUUUAAUAAAUUAGGGGACGAUAAGACCCUAAAAGCUUUAUGAUUGGCAUUUAAUUGGUGAUAGCGGUGUUAUUAAUUCACUGGGGCAGUGAGUUUAGGUAUAUUUAAGUAUAAUUAAAAGCUCCUUUAAAUAAAGAUUUCAUGUAUAAGUUACUUUAGGGAUAACAGUGCAAUAUAUU
rnacentral:rRNA from 1 species